rnacentral:rRNA from 1 species
GAUGAACGCUAGCGGCAGGCCUAACACAUGCAAGUCGAGGGGUAGCAGGAUUAAGCUUGCUUAAUUGCUGACGACCGGCGCACGGGUGCGUAACGCGUAUGCAACCUACCUUAUACUGGGGUAUAGCCCGGAGAAAUUCGGAUUAAUCCCCCAUAGUACUAAUGAAUCGCAUGGUUUAUUAGUUAAAGCAUUGCGGUAUAAGAUGGGCAUGCGUCCUAUUAGCUAGAUGGUGAGGUAACGGCUCACCAUGGCUACGAUAGGUAGGGGGCCUGAGAGGGUGGUCCCCCACACUGGUACUGCGACCCGGACCAGUCUCCUACGGGAGGCAGCAGUGAGGAAUAUUGGUCAAUGGGCGCAAGCCUGAACCAGCCAUGCCGCGUGCAGGAAGAAUGCCCUAUGGGUUGUAAACUGCUUUGAUUUGGGAAUAAACCCCUUUACGUGUAGAGAGCUGAAGGUACCAAAUGAAUAAGCACCGGCUAACUCCGUGCCAGCCGCCGCCGUAA